GAGAGACAAUGAGGAGAAGGAAGCAGUACACAGGUGUCUAGAGUAACAGAGAUCCCAUGAUACUCAGUUGGCUGACUAGGGACUCCAGAAUUUAAUUUUCUUUUUAAUCUAUUCAGAUUUUCCCAGACGUGCAGGAGUCAAACUCAGUAGAAGACAAAUAUGAGUCUUUCUUUUGGAUCUUAUCUACACAAUCCAACCACCCAGCAAAGAACAUCAGAGGAUGCUUGCAUAGAUGUUUCUGUCAUUGCAAUAGAAUGCCACCAGUAAGAGACCUGCAGCACUGGCAAGGGAGGAGCCAGUUCCCAUGGCGCUGCUUGACCUAUUAAAGCUGCUGAGAGGAGCUGAUACAUCAGUGAACACCCACAGAACGACCAUCCCUCUGUUACCAGGUGCCUUCCUGAAGAGUGCAGCAUGACAGAGCUCCACGAAGCUGUGGCUGUGGGCGACUAUGACUGGGUGAAAGAGAUUUUGAAGGCAGGGCGCUGUGAC
rnacentral:lncRNA from 1 species